AGCAGCCACCAGGAGCCAGGAGAGAGGCACGGAGCAGUUUCUCCCUCAGAACCCCUGGACGGAACCAACCUUGCCAAUACCUUGAUUUCAAAUUUCCAGAACUGCAAGAGCAGACAUUUCUGUUGCUUUGAGUCAUCCGGGUGGAGACUGGGAGCUUGAGAAGAGAGAUGUGACUUGUCCAAAACCACAUGAUAACGUAGUGACUCAAAUCCAGCUCCAUGUGGAAGACUUCCCAGUGCCGUCUCUCCACCGCAACGCAUUUCCUCUUUUUACUACAGAAUUUCCCCCCUCCUUUCUUCUUUUAAAAACCAACAUUCCAUGACAUAUUUACAAUUUUACAGAGAAAAAAAAAACCUAAUCAAAAGUACAUCAAAUAAGCCCUAUACCUGUCCAGAUUCUUAUGGACGUGUGCGCACAGAUAUUUACCAGGUCAUCAUCAGCACAGGUCAGGCGCGGUGGCUCAUGCCUGUAAUCCCAACAAUUCGGGAGGCUGAAGCAGGAAGAUAAUUGAGCCCAGGAGUUCAAGACCAUCCCAGGCAACAUGACAAAAUCCUGUCUCUACAAAAAAUUAGCUGGGCAUGGUGGUGUAUGCCUGUAGUCCCAGCUACUCAAGAGGCUGAGGUGGGAAGAUUGCCUGCGCCCAGGAAGUUGAGGCUGCAGUGAGCCGUGAUCACGCCACUGCACUCCAGCCUGGGUGCAGUGAGACCCAGUCUCAAAAUAAAUAAAUAAAUAAAUGUCUUCCAUUCAUUUAGAUCUAUUUAUUGUACUGAUCUUCCAUUUUCCUGCUUUAUCCUACUAUUGUACAAUUUUAAUAACUACUGCUUGCCUGCCUUGUUUGCUUAGAGAAGUCUUGCUCCUAAAAGAUUUUCAAAACAUCCUUUGAUAUGCAUGUCCACCAAUUUUUCCUGAUUAUUAUUAUAAUUAUCAUGUUCUUGCAUUAUGAAGUAUUUCACUGGAAUUUUAAAUGCCAAAAGGGCAUGAAAUCUAGGCAUAAACUUUGGAAUGCUGACCCUUUAAUGCUUUAAUUUCUGAUCAGAAGCAGCCAUGUAGGAUUUUGUAAUUUUCUUUGAAUAAAAA
rnacentral:lncRNA from 1 species